rfam:Paenibacillus selenitireducens strain ES3-24 ES3-24_scaffold7, whole genome shotgun sequence.
GUAGCUCAGUCGGUAGAGCAGAGGACUGAAAAUCCUCGUGUCGGCGGUUCGAUUNCCUAC